rnacentral:tRNA from 1 species
UGGAUCACCUCCUAACAGGGAGACAACAAAAUGUUUAAUAUUAUUAUUUUGUCACCUUAGGUCGAUCGGUAUCUCACGUUCUUAAUUUAUUAAGAAUUUCAUUUCCUAAGUUUUUCUAGGUCACACCCAUUAUUUUUCCUGGGCCAUUAGCUCAGGUGGUUAGAGCGCACCCCUGAUAAGGGUGAGGUCCCUGGUUCAAGUCCAGGAUGGCCCAUAUCUCUAUGUUGGGGGUAUAGCUCAGUUGGUAGAGCGCCUGCUUUGCAAGCAGGAUGUCAGCGGUUCGAGUCCGCUUACCUCCACUGAUUACCACCUCUUCCAUAACCGGUAGAAAGGAAAUGUUUUGAGUUGUGAUCAUUAUUCUGAACGAAUCUAGCUUCCUAAUGAAAUCAUUAAGAUGCUGGACUCAUUGAAUUAAUUUCAUUGUUUUCAGAGAACCUUGACAACUGCAUAGAUUAUUUUUAAAGACAAUAAGCAUCUUUAAUGAUGCAGAUUUAUUAUUUGUGCGAAUGCAUUAAUAACAAUUCUAUUGAGUUGAUGCUUCAAUUUUUGAAGUUAUUGGUCAAGCUACAAAGGGCUCACGGAGGAUACCUAGGCACACAGAGGCGAUGAAGG